CCUACGGGAGGCAGCAGUGGGGAAUUUUGGACAAUGGGCGCAAGCCUGAUCCAGCAAUGCCGCGUGAGUGAAGAAGGCCUUCGGGUUGUAAAGCUCUUUUGUCAGGGAAGAAACGGCUGAGGCUAAUAUCCUCGGCUAAUGACGGUACCUGAAGAAUAAGCACCGGCUAACUACGUGCCAGCAGCCGCGGUAAUACGUAGGGUGCAAGCGUUAAUCGGAAUUACUGGGCGUAAAGCGUGCGCAGGCGGUUUUGUAAGUCUGUCGUGAAAGCCCCGGGCUUAACCUGGGAAUUGCGAUGGAGACUGCAAGGCUUGAAUCUGGCAGAGGGGGGUAGAAUUCCACGUGUAGCAGUGAAAUGCGUAGAGAUGUGGAGGAACACCGAUGGCGAAGGCAGCCCCCUGGGUCAAGAUUGACGCUCAUGCACGAAAGCGUGGGGAGCAAACAGGAUUAGAUACCCUGGUAGUCCACGCCCUAAACGAUGUCUACUAGUUGUCGGGUCUUAAUUGACUUGGUAACGCAGCUACGCGUGAGUAGACCGCCGUCGGGAGGUACGGUCGCGAGAAGUUAAAACGUUAAAGUUAAGUAAGUUAGUACGGCGUGAGACGUAGACCGAACGGACGACGACGAGGGGAGGUUAGGG
rnacentral:rRNA from 1 species